rnacentral:misc_RNA from 1 species
AAGUCGUAACAAGGUCUCCGUAGGUGAACCUGCGGAGGGAUCAUUACAAGUGACCCCGGUCUUGACCACCGGGAUGUUCAUAAGCCCUUUGUUGUCCGCAUCUCCUGUUGCCUCCGGGGCGGACCCUCGCCUUCCUGGGGCGGGGGCUCCGGUGGACACUUCAAACUCUUGCGUAACUUUGCAGUCUGAGUAAACUUAUUAAUAAAUUAAA